AGGAGAAAAAGUAUCAGAGUAAUCAACCCCAUAUGUUUGAGCAUAUCCAUUGCCUACAAAACGUGCUUUUAAUCUGGUUAUAGAACCAUCACGAUUCAUCUUCAUUGUAAAAACUCAUUUGCAACUAAUAGUUUUCUUACUAUUGAGCAAAGGUAUCAGUUCCCAUAUACUAUUUGUAUCUAAGACCUCUAUUUUCUUUUUCAUAGUGGCAUAUCAACCAGGAUGAGAUAAUGCCUCAAUGAUUGUUUUAGGGAUUUUUAUAGAAUCCAAAGAGGUAACAAACAUUAAGAAGGAGAAGACAAAUGAUCAUAAGAAACAAAAGAGAAAAUAGGGUAAGUACAUACACAUUUACCUUUGCAAAGAGCUUUCGAUGAAGAAGAUGGUGGAGGAUCUAAGUCUGGAGUCUCCAAUCUCCUUGAGUAAACAUGAACAAUAGGAGGUCUGAUUGAGAUUGGGAUAGAAGGAGGAGCAGGAGCAGGAGGAUUUUGUUUGACAGUGUAAACUAAAAGAUCAUCGUCCUCACCCUGAUUCUCAUACGUAGAUGUUUGAGGAAAUAAUGGAGUAGACUCGAAAAACGUAAUAUUAGCAGAAAUAAUAUAACGAUUAAGAGUUGGGAGAAAAAUGCAUGUAUCCUUUUUGGAGCUGUGAGUAUUCAAGGAAAACACAUUUAAGAGACUUUGGAUCCAAUUUAGUUACAAAUAGACGGACA
rnacentral:misc_RNA from 1 species